CGCCCUUAGAGUUUGAUCAUGGCUCAGAUUGAACGCUGGCGGCAGGCUUAACACAUGCAAGUCGAGCGGUAGGAGAGCUUGCUCUCUACGAGCGGCGGACGGGUGAGUAAUGUCUGGGAAACUGCCUGAUGGAGGGGGAUAACUACUGGAAACGGUAGCUAAUACCGCAUAAUGUCGCAAGACCAAAGAGGUUCGUCUUGCCAUCAGAUGUGCCCAGAUGGGAUUAGCUAGUAGGUGGGGUAAUGGCUCACCUAGGCGACGAUCCCUAGCUGGUCUGAGAGGAUGACCAGCCACACUGGAACUGAGACACGGUCCAGACUCCUACGGGAGGCAGCAGUGGGGAAUAUUGCACAAUGGGCGCAAGCCUGAUGCAGCCAUGCCGCGUGUAUGAAGAAGGCCUUAGGGUUGUAAAGUACUUUCAGCGAGGAGGAAGGCGUUGUAUAAUUGCAACGAUUGACGUUACUCGCAGAAGAAGCACCGGCUAACUCCGUGCCAGCAGCCGCGGUAAUACGGAGGGUGCAAGCGUUAAUCGGAAUACUGGGCGUAAAGCGCACGCAGG
rnacentral:rRNA from 1 species